rnacentral:rRNA from 1 species
GACGAACGCUGGCGGCGUGCCUAAUACAUGCAAGUCGAACGCAUUUUCUUUCACCGUAGUUUGCUACACCGAAAGAAAAUUAGUUGCGAACGGGUUAGUAACACGUGGGUAACCUGCCCAUCAGCGGGGGAUAACACUUGGAAACAGGUGCUAAUACCGCAUAAUUCCAUUUACCGCAUGGUAUAUGGAUGAAAGGCUCUUUUUCGUCACUUUUGGAUUGACCCGCGGUGCAUUAGCUAGUUGGUGGGGUAACGGCCUACCAAGGCUGGGAUGCAUAGCCGGAAUGAGAGGGUGGUCGGCAAAAAUGGGAAUGAGAAAAGGCCCAGAAUGAUAAGGGAGGCAGCAGUAGGGAAACUUCGGAAAUGGAGGCAAGUCUGACCGAGAAACGCCGAGUGAGUGAAGAAGGUUGUCGGAUCGUAAAACUCUGUUGUUAGAGAAGAAAAAGGAUGAGAGUGGAAAGUUCAUCCCUUGACGGUAUCUAAACAGAAAGCCAUGGCUAACUACGUG